AAUCCCUGCAACUUUGAGCAAAUUCAUGAAUCUCACUAAGGGUCAGUUUGCCCCAUAGAGUUAUGCAAUAGCAGGGCCUCUGCAUUGGAGAACUCCAGAGGGCACCAUUGGGUUAUAUUUUAUGUUUGCCUAACCUUCAUUGCAGUGAGUAGGUGCAUUCUUUCCACAAUGUCCUGAGGUCUAAAGGGGUAGAGUUCUGUGUGUGGCAUUUGAGUCCUGAAAAGAUGGGAGCCCACAAAACUGGAGAAAUACUGCAGGAAGCUCAAACAUGGGGACCACUAGGUGAAGGAAAAUUAGCAAGUCUCUCUCCUCAGUUAAAUGUUCUCUGGACCACAUUUGACUGGGCAUUCAAAUGUAAAGGAAGACAAUUAAAGAACAGACAGAGUCUUGCUCUGUCGCCAGGUUGGAGUGCAGCACCACGAUCUCGGCUCACUGCCACCUCCGCCUCCUGGGUUCAAGCAAUUCGUCUGCCUCAGCCUCCCAAAGAUCCCAGACCACCACUCAUGAUGCCAGGCUGGAGGAAGUAUCAGGCUAGAGGAAUUCAGGACAGAUGA
rnacentral:lncRNA from 13 species